rnacentral:rRNA from 1 species
UAAUUAAAAUUCAUGUUUAUGAAUUUCUCGAUUUUAAAAGAGCUAAAAGGUUAUAAAUUUUAUUGUUGAAUAAAUAUUUUUAAUAAUUUUUUUGUAAUGAAACGUUAGUCGUUUUUAAAUAUAUCUAGUUUUUUGAGAAAUAAAUUUAAUUUAGUUAUUAAUAUAAAUUUAGCUAAAUUACUAGCUCAAUUUUAUUAAUAUUUAAUAUUCUAAGGGAUAAGCUUUAGGAUAAAUUAUUAUAAAUAUAUCUUUUUAUAAAAAUAUAUUGGAUUAAUGAUGUCCACUAUUAAUAGUUUGUUAUAAUUAGUUUUUAUUAAAAUAUGAUUUUUAUAUUAUUUUAAUUUUUUUAUCAAAAUAAUCCAUUUAAUUUUAAGAUGUAUGUAAUAAUGAUAAAAUUAGUAUAAUUUUUUGUAUUUAAUUAAUUUUAAGUUGUGAGGUUGAGCUAAGGAACUCGGCAAAUAUUUCUUCCGCCUGUUUAUUAAAAACAUGGCUUUUUGAUAUUAAUUUAAAGUCUGACCUGCCCAAUGAAUAUUAUUUGAAUGGCCGCGGUAUCUUGACCGUGCAAAGGUAGCAUAAUAAUUAGCUUUUUAAUUGAAAGCUGGAAUGAAUGGUUGGACGAGAAGAAAGCUGUCUCUGUUUAAGUUUUGUUAGAAUUUUAUUUUUAAGUAAAAAAGCUUAAAUAAUUUUAAAAGACGAGAAGACCCUAUAGAGUUUUAUAUUUAUAUUUAUGGGUAAUUUUUAGAAUUAUUUAUUUACUUAUAGGUAAUAGUAUUUUAUUGGGGUGAUAGGAAAAUUGAAAUAACUUUUCUUGAUUGUUUAACAUUAAUAUAUGAUUGAUUGAUCCAUUUUUUAUGAUUAUAAGAUUAAAUUACCUUAGGGAUAACAGCGUUAUUAUUCUUGAGAGUUCAUAUCGAAAGAAUAGUUUGCGACCUCGAUGUUGGAUUAAAAUAAACUUCUGGUGCAGAAGCUAGAAAGUUAGGUCUGUUCGACCUUUAAAAUUUU